rnacentral:pre_miRNA from 1 species
AUUGUACUCCCUCCGUUUGGAAUUACUCGUCAUAAAAAUGAAUGUAUUUAGAUAUAUUUUAGUUUUAAAUACAUCCAUUUUCAAGACAAGUAAUUUCGAAUGAAGGGAGUUCGUA